GACGAACGCUGGCGGCGUGCUUAACACAUGCCAGUCGAACGGAAAGGCCCUGCUUUUGUGGGGUGCUCGAGUGGCGAACGGGUGAGUAACACGUGAGUAACCUGCCCUUGACUUUGGGAUAACUUCAGGAAACUGGGGCUAAUACCGGAUAGGAGCUCCUGCUGCAUGGUGGGGGUGGGAAAGUUUCGGCGGUCGGGGAUGGACGCGCGGCUUAUGAGCUUGUUGGUGGGGUAGUGGCUUACCAAGGCUGUGGCGGGUAGCCGGCCUGGGAGCGGGGCCGGCCACAAUGGGCCUGAGAGACGCAGCAGACGCGAACGGGGGACAACAGGGGGAAGUAUUGCCCAAUGAGCGCGAGCGUGAUGCAGAGGCGCCGCGUGCGGAAUGACGGCCUUCGGGUUGUGAACCGCUUUCGCCUAUGACGAAGCGUGAGUGACGGUAAUGGGUGAAGAAGCACCGGCUAACUACGUG
rnacentral:rRNA from 1 species